rnacentral:misc_RNA from 1 species
GAUGAAGAACGUAGUGAAAUGCGAUAAGUAGUGUGAAUUGCAGAAUUCAGUGAAUCAUCGAAUCUUUGAACGCACAUUGCGCCCCUUGGUAUUCCAUGGGGCAUGCCUGUUCGAGCGUCAUUUCAACCAUCAAGCCCCCGGCUUGUGUUGGGGACCUGCGGCUGCCGCAGGCCCUGAAAACCAGUGGCGGGCUCGCUAGUCACUCCGAGCGUAGUAAUACAUCUCGCUCAGGGCGUGCUGCGGGUUCCGGCCGUUAAAAAGCCUUAUUUACCCAAGGUUGACCUCGGAUCAGGUAGGAAGACCCGCUGAACUUAAGCAUAUCAAUAAGCGGAGGA